AAUCAAGCGCGAAAAGGGCGUUUGGUGGAUGCCUUGGCAGUAAGAGGCGAUGAAGGACGUGAUACUCUGCGAUAAGCCAUGGGGAGCUGAGAAUAAGCUUUGAUCCAUGGAUUUCCGAAUGGGGCAACCCACCUGAUAUUUUGUUGUUACUGUCGCAAGACAGCUAACAGCGGGAUAAACCAGGUAUUUCUAGACUGAAUACAUAGGUUUAGAAAAGCAAACCCGGGGAACUGAAACAUCUAAGUACCCGGAGGAAAGGAAAUCAACAGAUACUCCCCUAGUAGCGGCGAGCGAACGGGGACCAGCCGAGCCAUGAGAGUGACAAGAAUAUCCUGGAAAGGAUAGCCAGAGUGGGUGACAGCCCCGUAUUGGAAGCUCAAUUGGACGUAUUAAGUAGGGCGGGACACGUGAAAUCCUGUCUGAAGAUCGGGGGACCACCCUCGAAGGCUAAGUACUCCUUACUGACCGAUAGCGAACCAGUACCGUGAGGGAAAGGUGAAAAGCACCCCGACGAGGGGAGUGAAACAGUUCCUGAAACCGAACGCCUACAAGCAGUUGGAGGGUCCUUUAUUGAGGCCUGACAGCGUACCUUUUGUAUAAUGGGUCAUCGACUUGGUCUCACAAGCAAGCUUAAGCCGUUAGGUGUAGGCGCAGCGAAAGCGAGUCUUAAUAGGGCGAUUGAGUUUGUGGGAUCAGACCCGAAACCGAGUGAUCUAGGCAUGUCCAGGAUGAAGGUUAGGUAACACUAACUGGAGGUCCGAACCCACACCUGUUGAAAAAGGUCGGGAUGAGGUGUGCCUAGGGGUGAAAGGCCAAUCAAACUCGGAGAUAGCUGGUUCUCCGCGAAAUCUAUUUAGGUAGAGCGUCAUCCGAAUACCCCUGGGGGUAGAGCACUGGAUGGGUAAUGGGGCCUUACCGGCUUACUGAUCCUAACCAAACUCCGAAUACCGAGGAGUACUAGACGGCAGACACACAUCGGGUGCUAACGUCCGGUGUGAAGAGGGAAACAACCCUGACCUACGACUAAGGCCCCUAAUUCAUGGCUAAGUGGGAAAGCAGGUGGGACGGCCAAAACAACCAGGAGGUUGGCUUAGAAGCAGCCAUCCUUUAAAGAUAGCGUAACAGCUCACUGGUCUAAACAAGCUGUCCUGCGGCGAAGAUGUAACGGGGCUCAAGCCAUGAGCCGAAGUCUAGGGUGUAUAGCAAUAUACGCGGUAGCAGAGCGUAGUGUGACAUA
rnacentral:rRNA from 1 species